GAUGAACGCUGGCGGCGUGCUUAACACAUGCAAGUCGAACGAUGAAGCCCAGCUUUCUGGGUGGAUUAGUGGCGAACGGGUGAGUAACACGUGAGUAACCUGCCCUUAACUCUGGGAUAAGCCUGGGAAACUGGGUCUAAUACCGGAUAGGAGCGUCCACCGCAUGGUGGGUGUUGGAAAGAUUUAUCGGUUUUGGAUGGACUCGCGGCCUAUCAGCUUGUUGGUGAGGUAAUGGCUCACCAAGGCGACGACGGGUAGCCGGCCUGAGAGGGUGACCGGCCACACUGGGACUGAGACACGGCCCAGACUCCUACGGGAGGCAGCAGUGGGGAAUAUUGCACAAUGGGCGCAAGCCUGAUGCAGCGACGCCGCGUGAGGGAUGACGGCCUUCGGGUUGUAAACCUCUUUCAGUAGGGAAGAAGCGAAAGUGACGGUACCUGCAGAAGAAGCACCGGCUAACUACGUG
rnacentral:rRNA from 1 species